rnacentral:rRNA from 1 species
GAACGGUAACAGGGAUUAGCUUGCUAAUUUGCUGACGAGUGGCGGACGGGUGAGUAAUGCUUGGGAAUCUAGCUUAUGGAGGGGGAUAACUACGGGAAACUGUAGCUAAUACCGCGUAAAAUCUUCGGAUUAAAGGGUGGGACUUUCGGGCCACCUGCCAUAAGAUGAGCCCAAGUGGGAUUAGGUAGUUGGUUAGGUAAAGGCUGACCAAGCCGACGAUCUCUAGCUGGUCUGAGAGGAUGACCAGCCACACUGGAACUGAGACACGGUCCAGACUCCUACGGGAGGCAGCAGUGGGGAAUAUUGCACAAUGGGGGGAACCCUGAUGCAGCCAUGCCGCGUGAAUGAAGAAGGCCUUCGGGUUGUAAAGUUCUUUCGGUGACGAGGAAGGUUGAUAGGUUAAUAGCCUAUCAAAUUGACGUUAAUCACAGAAGAAGCACCGGCUAACUCCGUGCCAGCAGCCGCGGUAAUACGGGGGGUGCGAGCGUUAAUCGGAAUAACUGGGCGUAAAGGGCACGCAGGCGGUGACUUAAGUGAGAUGUGAAAGCCCCGGGCUUAACCUGGGAAUUGCAUUUCAUACUGGGUCGCUAGAGUACUUUAGGGAGGGGUAGAUUCCACGUGUAGCGGUGAAAUGCGUAGAGAUGUGGAGGAAUACCGAAGG